AGUGAACGCUGGCGGUAGGCCUAACACAUGCAAGUCGAACGGCAGCACAGGAGAGCUUGCUCUCUGGGUGGCGAGUGGCGGACGGGUGAGGAAUACAUCGGAAUCUGCCCAGUUGUGGGGGAUAACGUAGGGAAACUUACGCUAAUACCGCAUACGACCUUCGGGUGAAAGAGGGGGAUCGCAAGACCUCUCGCGAUUGGAUGAGCCGAUGUCGGAUUAGCUAGUUGGCGGGGUAAUGGCCCACCAAGGCGACGAUCCGUAGCUGGUCUGAGAGGAUGAUCAGCCACACUGGAACUGAGACACGGUCCAGACUCCUACGGGAGGCAGCAGUGGGGAAUAUUGGACAAUGGGCGCAAGCCUGAUCCAGCCAUACCGCGUGGGUGAAGAAGGCCUUCGGGUUGUAAAGCCCUUUUGUUGGGAAAGAAAUCUUUCAGGCUAAUACCCUGGGAGGAUGACGGUACCCAAAGAAUAAGCACCGGCUAACUUCGUG
rnacentral:rRNA from 1 species